CCCGCGUACUCGGUCAGCCAGUCAACGCCUUCUCCUUUGCUCCAUCCCCCUGCCUUCUCCCCUCCUUCCGCCGUCUUGUGCACGCCGCCGCCUGAUGGCCCUCGCCGCCGUCCAUGUUGUGGCCCUCCAUCCCGUGCAGCACCGCCAGCCCCUCGAGCCCCAGCAUGGACCACCCCUCCACGUGCCGCCGGCCGCCCCGCGCUAGCUCGACGGCGGACUCCUGACUGGCCAUCGCCGGCGGCGGGAAGGCUGCGGAAGGGCACGCCACUGCGUCAAGCCGUCCGGGCCCUUAAGCCUCUCGAGCCGGCGGCGGAAAGGCCACCACGGACGCAACCUGAAUUGCUGAGAUCCUGAUUAAUAAGCAAAUCAUCAUAUCUCGACAUCACAGGCUAACAGGUAGCUACAAUCAAUGUUCUUACGGUGUUAAUGCGAGUUGUGGCAAGUCACCACCACCUAGCCGCCUAGGCGGGCUAAGGCGACGCCUAGGCGGGCUAAGGCGACGCCUAGACGGGCUAAAAUGCCUACACGGGCCAAAACAGGGGAGCGCCUUGAGCGAUGCCAUAAGAACAUUGGCUACAAUGGAAUAAUAAGGAACGACACGAGUUCUUUGAAGCAUAUUAUAGAGCCAUCUGUCAACAUAAGGAGAUAAAAAGUAUUUUUGAAUCAUAAGUUAAUUAGAUUUUUUUAACUUACGUGCGACGUGUGUCUAUGCUAUACUAUAAAAGUUGAAAUAAUUGAAAUAUUUUUUCACCAAGAUUAGAAUCACCAUACCCUGUACGAAGGUCCCACUUGUCAGGUUCAGAGGUUUGACAGAAGGGGCUGGUGACCCUUUUUAAUGACCAAAAUUCUAAUACUUUUUGUACCAACAAUUUUAUAUACCCACCUUUUGUACCUGCUUAUAACUUUUCUUUGGAGAACACUUUACUUUUCUUUGCA